UUGCAGAUGCUUACCUUAGACACCAUUUGUUUAUGGCUAGAUAAGCAUGAUCUCAACUAAAAAUCAUGAUCCAAACUUGGUUUAGAUACCAAUUAAAUAAUUAGAAUCGAAUAGAUCAGUCUAGACUCGAGCUCGAACCAUUGAGCCAAAUUAGAUCCUUUAAUUGGUCGACAACAUAUGACUGUUAAUCGAUCUGAUCAAUCUAUAACUAUUAGGUU
rnacentral:lncRNA from 1 species